GAGCUCUCUCCGGCUGCACAUAUACUAAAAUGGGAACAAUACAGACAAUACGUGCAUGGCCCCUGCACAAGGAUGCCGUGUCAAUUCACGAGACAGUCCAUAGUCUA
ensembl:snRNA U6 U6 spliceosomal RNA